GGCAACGUGCUUGUUGGGAAACAUCUUGAUCAGGCAGCCUCUUGGUUCGUGGAAUAUGGAACAGGAAAAAAACGAGGAAGCAUAGACUCCUGCAGAGGCACCUACUGAACCAGAAUCCAACAUGAAGGAAGAAGAAGAUAACAAAAACGAAUCAAACUCUCCUGUCGAGGCACCUAUGAAACCAGAUUAUAAAAAGAAGGAAACAGAGGCAUCUACUGGAACAGAGUCGUCAAAAAAGAAAACCUCGAAAUCAUUAAAGGCUGAAUCAAAAAUAGCAAAGAAGCCUCUUGGUAGUAAAUUUUAAACUCCAGAAAAGAUAAAGGUGGUCCACAGGCUCAGUGGAAACAAAGAAAGAAUAAUAAGCGUGUAUAGAGUAACAUAGAAAGCAACAAUGGUGGAGGAGAGGUUAAAAAGCUGAAUUCUAGAGAAGAAGGCAAUGAGAAGAACAUCAAUGAUAAAGGGCAUAAAGAGAAGAGCCAUUAGCCUGAAAAUAACCAAGGGAAGAAGAUCAUUGAGUUGGAAAAGCACAAACAGAAAGAGAGAAACGAAGGAAGGCAUUGUAUGUCAGACAGUGGUACUGAGAGUGAAAAGAACAACGAAAAACAUGAUGGUGCUUAGAGGAGCCAACAUGAUGAGAAGAAUAAAGAAAAACUCGGCGGUUUGAUAUUCAUGUGCAAUGCAAAGACCAAGCCAGAUUGUUUUCGCUAUCAUGUAAUGAGUGUUACAACAAGUAAAAAGGAUGUCGUGAUGGGUAUCAAACUUGGGAUUAAACUUUUUCUCUAUGAUUUUGAUUUGAAGCUUCUUUAUGGGAUUUAUAAGGCGGCCUCUUCUGGUGGCAUGAAACUUGAGCCAAGGGCUUUCGGUGGGGCAUUCCCUGUUCAGGUGCGGUUCACUAUUGAGAAAGAUUGUCUUCCACUACCUGAGGGUGUUUUUAAGAAGGCAAUCAAGGAAAAAUUAUAAUGAAAAGCACAAAUUCAAAACAGAACUUACUGAUAAGCAAGCUAGGAAUCUUGAAAAGCUUUUUCGACCGGCUGAAGUUCAUUCAACUGUGUUGCCUGUCUGCUCUCCUCAAGUUGCUAGAGUUGGUGACAGUAAAGUUCAUGAAAUAGUAAGAGAAGUGUGGCCCCGUUAUCAUAAGGAAACACUUGCUAGGGAUCCUUAUACGGAUGGUGAUUCUAGUAGAUUUCAGUUGCCAUCUUAUGAAAGGUAUCAUCAGCGUCUUGUAUACAGAGACAUGGCAACUAUACCAAGAGAGGAGACUCCUCGGGACUUUACAUAUAAAUGCUGUCUCCACACAGAGAGAGACUGUUCAUGCUGAUUCUCUCUACUUGAAUGAGAGAGAGUACCAUCUUAUGGUCUUGGUGCUAGACGUGAAACAUAAUCCACUGUACCUUUUGCAACUGCAACAUCUGCUACUUCUUCAGGCCUGUAUACAAAGGAUCCAUACCAUGGUUAUCAUUAUGGUGCUUCAUCAGGUUCUUAUCCUAUUGGUGGAACGCACCCAAUUGAGAGUGCCAAUUUACGCAGGACAGAAACUGAUCGAGUGGGUAGUUUAUACUCCAUAUAUGCUGCUGAUGCUUUACUGCACAAAGACAAGACACAUCAUUAUCAGGCUGCCCAGCCAGAAGCAGUGCCUGUGCCAGUUUCGUCUCGGUACUCUUCUGCUGGUCUAUCAUUCCUACACCACUGACUAAAUGAACAUAUGUAUCAGUUGCAUAUUGUAUGGAUGAGGGAACAGAUUUGGCUCCAAAUUUGUACGGAACUGAGUGUAAGCGGCAUUUUGGUACCCAUCAAUAUUCUUUGGUGUUCAGUGGGGAAAAAAAAUCAGAAUUCAUUUUAGUAAUUCUUUCAAUUAAUUGGAAAUUAUUUUUGUUGUUCCA